rnacentral:misc_RNA from 1 species
GAUGAAGAACGCAGCGAAAUGCGAUAAGUAAUGCGAAUUGCAGAAUUCCAGUGAGUCAUCGAAUCUUUGAACGCACAUUGCGCCCUUUGGUAUUCCGAAGGGCAUGCCUGUUCGAGCGUCAUUAUCACCCCUCAAGCCCUCGGCUUGGUGUUGGACGGUUUGGUGGAGGCCCCCUCGGGGGCUCCUGCCCCUCCCAAAGACAAUGACGGCGGCCUCGUUGGACCCCCGGUACACUGAGUUCUUCACGGGACACGUAUCGGACACAUGGGUUUACGGGACACGGUCUGCCUCCCCUCAGGGAGAAUCUUUCUAAGGUUGACCUCGGAUCAGGUAGGGAUACCCGCUGAACUUAAGCAUAUCAAUAAGCGGAGA